AGCAGCCGCGGUAAUUCCAGCUCCAAUAGCGUAUAUUAAAGUUGUUGCAGUUAAAAAGCUCGUAGUUGAAUUUCGGGAUCAAGUCGUCGGUCGUGCCUAGGUACGCACUGGUGACAUUGGUUUCUCCCUUCUGAAGAACCUUGAUGUCAUUAAUUUGGUGUCUUGGGGAAUCAGGACUGUUACUUUGAAAAAAUUAGAGUGUUUAAAGCAGGCUCACGCUUGAAUACAUUAGCAUGGAAUAAUGAAAUAGGACGUUUGAUUCUAUUUUGUUGGUUUCUAGGAUCGACGUAAUGAUUAAUAGGGAUAGUUGGGGGCAUUAGUAUUCAAUUGUCAGAGGUGAAAUUCUUGGAUUUAUUGAAGACUAACUACUGCGAAAGCAUUUGCCAAGGAUGUUUUCAUUAAUCAAGAACGAAAGUUAGGGGAUCGAAGACGAUUAGAUACCGUCGUAGUCUUAACCAUAAACUAUGCCGACUAGGGAUCGGAUGAUGUUAAUUUUUUAAUGACUCAUUCGGCGCCUUAC
rnacentral:rRNA from 1 species